rnacentral:rRNA from 1 species
CAGUCGCCGCGGGAAAACGGAGGGUGCAAGCGUUAUCCGGAUUUAUUGGGUUUAAAGGGUCCGUAGGCGGAUCUGUAAGUCAGUGGUGAAAUCUCACAACUUAACUGUGAAACUGCCAUUGAUACUGCAGGUCUUGAGUAAAUUUGAAGUGGCUGGAAUAAGUAGUGUAGCGGUGAAAUGCAUAGAUAUUACUUAGAACACCAAUUGCGAAGGCAGGUCACUAAGAUUUAACUGACGCUGAUGGACGAAAGCGUGGGGAGCGAACAGGAUUAGAUACCCCCGUAGUCCCUGUCUCUUAUAA